rnacentral:misc_RNA from 1 species
GAAUUUUGUGAGUUUUGUUUGAGUGAUUUUUAGGGUGAGAAAAAUAAUUAGCGUGUACAAUUAUUUUUCCUUUAAUAGUAAAUAUGUUGGUGGAGUAAGCUUACGCCGAACCAUGUUAAAUUUUGUGCUAUUUAUUUUGUGUGGGCGUAAUUUUCACAACAAGUGAUAUCAGAGCUAUGGCUCGAGAUGUCAAAGAUGGCAAGCAUAAAAUUAGAGGUGAAGCCAUUCGAUAGAAAAAAUAAUUUCAGUUUAUGACAAAACAUCGUGAAAGAUGUCCUUGUACAAUAAGGAUUAAUUAAAGUAUUGAAUGAGAAGCAACCGACGACCAUGAAAGAUGAUUGGGAGGAGCUU